GGGCGAAAGGGAAUCCGGUUCCUAUUCCGGAACCCGGUAGCGGAACCGUUCCAAAACGGGCCCUCGCGAGUGCUCGUCGGGGCAACCCAAAGAGACCCGGAGACGCCGUCGGGAGAUCCGGAGAGAGUUUUCUUUUCUCUAUAAGCGUUCGAGUUCCCUGGAAUCCUCUAGCAGGGAGAUAGGGUUUGGAACGCGAAGAGCACCGCAGUUGCAGCGGUGUCCGGAUCUUCCCCUCGGACCUUGAAAAUCCGGGAGAGGGCUACGUGGAAAGUUCGCACCGGAUCGUACCCAUAUCCGCAGCAGGUCUCCAA
rnacentral:rRNA from 1 species